rnacentral:rRNA from 1 species
AGGCAGCAGUUGGGAAUCUUGGGCAAUGGGCGCAAGCCUGACCCAGCGACGCCGCGUGGGGGAUGAAGGCCUUCGGGCCGUAAAGCCCUGUCGGGUGGGACGAAUCUCCUGGUGGCGAAUAACCACCGGGCUUGACGGUACCACCGAAGGAAGCCACGGCUAACUACGUGCCAGCAGCCGCGGUAAUA